AGGACGAACGCUGGCGGCGUGCUUAACACAUGCAAGUCGAACGGGGAUCAUAUGGAUGAUAGCUUCGGCAGGAAUCCGAAUGAUCGAGUGGCGGACGGGUGAGUAACGCGUGAGCAACCUGUCCCAGACAGGGGGAUAACACUUGGAAACAGGUGCUAAUACCGCAUGAGACCACAGUAUCGCAUGGUACAGGAGGUAAAAGGUGCAAACCGGUUUGGGGUGGGCUCGCGUCCGAUUAGGAUAGUUGGUGAGGUAACGGCCCACCAAGUCGACGAUCGGUAGCCGACCUGAGAGGGUGAUCGGCCACAUUGGAACUGAGAGACGGUCCAAACUCCUACGGGAGGCAGCAGUGGGGAAUAUUGGGCAAUGGGCGAAAGCCCUGACCCAGCAACGCCGCGUGAGUGAAGAAGGCUUUCGGGUUGUAAAGCUCUGUUAUAGGGGACGAAGGAAGUGACGGUACCCUAUAAGGAAGCCCCGGCUAACUACGUGCCAGCAGCCGC
rnacentral:rRNA from 1 species